rnacentral:rRNA from 1 species
AUUGAACGCUGGCGGCAUGCCUUACACAUGCAAGUCGAACGGCAGCACGGGUGCUUGCACCUCGUGGCGAGUGGCGAACGGGUGAGUAAUACAUCGGAACAUGUCCUGUAGUGGGGGAUAGCCCGGCGAAAGCCGGAUUAAUACCGCAUACGAUCUACGGAUGAAAGCGGGGGACCUUCGGGCCUCGCGCUAUAGGGUUGGCCGAUGGCUGAUUAGCUAGUUGGUGGGGUAAAGGCCUACCAAGGCGACGAUCAGUAGCUGGUCUGAGAGGACGACCAGCCACACUGGGACUGAGACACGGCCCAGACUCCUACGGGAGGCAGCAGUGGGGAAUUUUGGACAAUGGGCGAAAGCCUGAUCCAGCAAUGCCGCGUGUGUGAAGAAGGCCUUCGGGUUGUAAAGCACUUUUGUCCGGAAAGAAAUCCUUGGCCCUAAUACGGUCGGGGGAUGACGGUACCGGAAGAAUAAGCACCGGCUAACUACGUG